rnacentral:rRNA from 1 species
AGCAGCCGCGGUAAUUCCAGCUCCAAUAGCGUAUAUUAAAGUUGUUGCAGUUAAAAAGCUCGUAGUUGAAUUUCGGGAUCAAUUUGCUGGUCGUGCCUUCGGUACGCACUGGUAUUAUUGGUUUCUCCUUUCUGAUGAAUCGCGAUGUCAUUAAUUUGGUGUCGUGGGGAAUCAGGACUGUUACUUUGAAAAAUUAGAGUGUUUAAAGCAGGCUCACGCUUGAAUACAUUAGCAUGGAAUAAUGAAAUAGGACGUUUGAUUCUAUUUUGUUGGUUUCUAGGAUCGACGUAAUGAUUAAUAGGGAUAGUUGGGGGCAUUAGUAUUCAAUUGUCAGAGGUGAAAUUCUUGGAUUUAUUGAAGACUAACUACUACGAAAGCAUUUGCCAAGGAUGUUUUCAUUAAUCAAGAACGAAAGUUAGGGGAUCGAAGACGAUCAGAUACCGUCGUAGUCUUAACCAUAAACUAUGCCGACUAGGGAUCGGAUGAUGUUAAUUUUUAAUGACUCAUUCGGCGUACCCG